rnacentral:snRNA from 2 species
UCACUUGCCUGGUCGGGGUCAAUGAUGAUCAUAAAGGUUCAUGGUGUAGAUUGGUGACCUUCAUUGCACUUUGGAGGGGUGCCUGUUGAAGGUUGGCUCAAGUGGUCGAGUCUACAUUAUAAUUUUUGGAGGGGUGCCUGUUGAAGGUUGGCUCAAGUGGUCGAGUCUACAUCAUAAUUUGUGGCAGUGGAGGCUUGCGUUCGCGCAGCCUUUG